rnacentral:rRNA from 1 species
AUUGAACGCUAGCGGCAUGCCUUACACAUGCAAGUCGAACGAGUGGCGGACGGGUGAGUAAUAUCUCGGAACGUGCCUAAUAGAGGGGGAUAACUACUCGAAACAGUAGCUAAUACCGCAUACUAUCAGAUCUGCCCAUAUGGGAUUAGCUUGUUGGUGGGGUAAAGGCUCACCAAGGCAACGAUCCGUAGCUGGUCUGAGAGGAUGACCAGCCACACUGGGACUGAGACACGGCCCAGACUCCUACGGGAGGCAGCAGUGGGGAAUAUUGCACAAUGGGGGCAAGCCUGAUGCAGCCAUGCCGCGUGUAUGAAGAAGGCCUUCGGGUUGUAAAGUACUUUCAGCGGGGAAGCGUUAUCUGCAGAAGAAGCACCGGCUAACUCCGUGCCAGCAGCCGCGGUAAUAC